UACGUAGGGUGCAAGCGUUAAUCGGAAUUACUGGGCGUAAAGCGCACGUAGGCGGAUUGGUCAGUUAGGGGUGAAAUCCCAGAGCUCAACUCUGGAACUGCCCUUAAUACUGCCAGUCUAGAGUCCGGAAGAGGUAAGUGGAACUCCUAGUGUAGAGGUGGAAUUCGUAGAUAUUAGGAAGAACACCAGUGGCGAAGGCGGCUUACUGGUCCGGUACUGACGCUGAGGUGCGAAAGCGUGGGGAGCAAACAGG
rnacentral:rRNA from 1 species